AUGUCGUCGUCGAUCCCACCGCCGGCCUUCUCCUCUGCUUGCUUCCUCCGGUUCCAUGUCGCCGUCGAUCCAGAGCGGCGGCGGGGUCUGCGCGGUGCGGGUGGGGAUGUAGGGGAGGGGUGGGAUGCAGACGAUGGCGAGGAAGGCAAGCAACAUCGGGGAAUGAGCAGCCGCUGGAUGAGAAAGCAUAGGAUUCAGGAAAGCAACUGCAAGAGACGGAGAAGACGUCCCCAUGGCUUCUACGAGGACCAGAAGCGUAUGCCUAUUAUUAGAGCUUGGAUAAGGCUUGCUUGUGGAAAAACUGGUUCUCGUUCAGUUAUGCUUGUCAGUUUGAUAGAAGAUGGACACCCCUCUUCAAGUUGGUUUAUGGGCUUGCGGAGUGUGAGAAACCCCUGGUAUGCCUCCAUCCUUCGUCCCUUGCUCCGUGGCCUGGAUGUCGAGGGAGGGCGAGAGGUGGUGAUAUGCAGGGGUGAGGGAGAUGGAGGCGGUGACCUGCAGCUCCUGUUGAAGGGGCGGAGAAGAGGGGGUGCGGAGAUGAGAGGCUAUUGUUGUUUAUUCCUUCAUGCAGUAUUUCUGAGUUGGUUCACUCUGAAAAAAGGCUUUCCAUAA
rnacentral:rRNA from 1 species